UUCAAGGGGUGAAUUGAGACACAUGCCAUGUCUCAAUGAGAGGAGUUUCCAGGAAAUUGUAGAUGUGUUUUAAAACCAUCACAGUAAGGAUACAGAGCUUGCUAGGUGUCUGAUUAUGUUCCAUCUUUACCUUCUUAGUAUCAGAAUCUCUGUGUUGUUAGUUAACUCAAGAUUUUUUAAGCCUACAUUUCUCCUCCCUUGGAGAAGUCAUGAGAAGAGACCUUCAGAUUUUAUUUUUAAGUAAUCUCUACAUCCAACUUACAACCUCAAGAUCAAGAGUGACACCCUCUACCAACUCUAACUAGGCACCCCAAUAACAACUACCUGCUGAGCACUAACAGAUACCGUGUUAAAAGCUUGAACAUUCCUAACGAUACUAUGAGGCAGGAACUACCAUGAUCCCCAUUUCCAGUCUCUCAUCUCAGUCCCAUGUUGAAGUGGAAGACAUGAAUUGCCAGCUGUCUUCAGGAUACCUUAACCUGAUGGUGUCUGGCCCUUCAAGCUCAGUAGGACCAAACUCAUCAUCAUCUCUUGUUCUCAUUACUAUCGAUGGCAUGAAUUUCAGAUUCCUCUUCAGCUUCCCCCACCCGCAGUUUGAAGUGGCC